rnacentral:rRNA from 1 species
AGCGGCGGACGGGUUAGUAACGCGUGGGAACAUACCCUUCUCUAUGGAAUAGCCUCGGGAAACUGAGAGUAAUACCAUAUACGCCCUUCGGGGGAAAGAUUUAUCGGAGAAGGAUUGGCCCGCGUUUGAUUAGAUAGUUGGUGGGGUAAUGGCCUACCAAGUCUACGAUCAAUAGCUGGUUUGAGAGGAUGAUCAGCAACACUGGGACUGAGACACGGCCCAGACUCCUACGGGAGGCAGCAGUGGGGAAUCUUAGACAAUGGGCGCAAGCCUGAUCUAGCCAUGCCGCGUGAGUGACGAAGGUCUUAGGAUCGUAAAGCUCUUUCGCCAGAGAUGAUAAUGACAGUAUCUGGUAAAGAAACCCCGGCUAACUCCGUGCCAGCAGCCGCGGUAAUACGGAGGGGGUUAGCGUUGUUCGGAAUUACUGGGCGUAAAGCGCACGUAGGCGGAUUAGAAAGCAAGAGGUGAAAUCCCAGGGCUCAACCCUGGAACUGCCUUUUGAACUACUAGUCUAGAGUUCGAGAGAGGUGAGUG